UUAAGUAAGAAAGGGCGUACGGUGGAUGCCUAGGCACUUGAAACUGAAGAAGGACGCAACAAACGGCGAAACGCGGCGGGGAGCUGUACGUAAGCAAAGAUCCGCCGGUAUCCGAAUGGGGGAACCCGGCAUGCGUAAUAGCAUGUCAUCCGCAGAUGAACAAAUAGUCUGCGAGAGAGGUACCCGGGGAACUGAAACAUCUAAGUACCCGGAGGAAAAGAAAACAACAGUGAUUCCCUGAGUAGCGGCGAGCGAAAGGGGAGGAGCCCAAACCAGACCGAGGUCUGGGGUUGAAGGACCGCGAUACGGCAAGAAUCAUGGUAGGAGAACGGCAUUGAAAGGCCGACCGGAGAGGGUGCAAGUCCCGUAUCCGAAACCGUGAGGAAGCCCAGCGGGAUCCUGAGUACGGCGAGACACGAGAAAUCUUGUCGGAAGCAGGCGGGACCAUCCGUCAAGGCUAAAUAUAAGCAAGUGACCGAUAGUGAACCAGUACCGUGAGGGAAAGGUGAAAAGAACCGCGGGAGCGGAGUGAAACAGAACCUGAAACCGUAUGCUUACAAGAAGUCAGAGCACGUUAAGGUGUGAUGGCGUGCCUUUUGUAGAAUGAACCGGCGAGUUAUGUUAUCGUGCGAGGUUAAGCAGGAGAUGCGGAGCCGAAGCGAAAGCGAGUCUUAAGAGGGCGGCAGUACGAUGACAUAGACCCGAAACCGUGUGAUCUAGCCAUGACCAGGUUGAAGUUCAGGUGAAACUGAAUGGAGGACCGAACCGACCCCCGUUGAAAAGUUGGCGGAUGAGUUGUGGCUAGGGGAGAAAUUCCAAUCGAACACGGAUAUAGCUGGUUCUCCCCGAAAUAGCUUUAGGGCUAGCGUCGAGGAUGAGUCUUGUGGAGGUAGAGCACUGAAUGUACGAUGGCCCCAUCCCGGGGUACUGAGUAUAAUCAAACUCCGAAUGCCAUGAGAUAUUCCCGGCAGUCAGACCGUGGGUGAUAAGGUCCAUGGUCAAAAGGGAAACAGCCCAGACCGCCAGUUAAGGUCCCAAAAUGUAUGCUAAGUGGAAAAGGAUGUGGGGAUGCACAGACAACUAGGAGGUUGGCUCAGAAGCAGCCAUCCUUCAAAGAGUGCGUAACAGCUCACUAGUCGAGUGACCCUGCGCCGAAAAUGUACCGGGGCUAAGCAUACUACCGAAGCUGCGGAUUUGUAGUAAUACAAGUGGUAGGGGAGCGUUCCAUGCACGUGGAAGCCAUACCGAAAGGAGUGGUGGAGAGCAUGGAAGUGAGAAUGCCGGUGUGAGUAGCGAGAUGCAGGUGAGAAUCCUGCACACCGAUAGCCCAAGGAUUCCAGGGGAAGGUUCGUCCGCCCUGGGUAAGUCGGGACCUAAGGCGAGGCCGAAAGGCGUAGUCGAUGGAAAACAGGCAGAUAUUCCUGUACCCGCGAUGGAAAUGAAGGAAUGACGGAGAAGGCUAGCAUGAGCCACUUAUUGGAUUGUGGUCGAAGCGAAUAGCAGGUGCAUAGUCAAAUGCGUGCACGGGAUGUAAAACGUGACAGGUAAGCGAAACCUUUGGGGAGUAGCGAAGCAUGCGAGGCCAGCUUCCAGGAAAAGUUUCUAGUGCUGAUUCCAUAGCGGCCCGUACCAAAACCGACACAGGUGGGCAAGGAGAGUAUCCUGAGGUGAGCGAGAGAACUGUUGCCAAGGAACUCGGCAAAAUGACUCCGUAAGUUAGCGAGAAGGAGUGCUUAUGAAAGUAAGCCGCAGUGAAGAGGCCCAAGCGACUGUUUAACUAAAACACAGCUCUCUGCGAAGUCGCAAGACGAAGUAUAGGGGGUGACGCCUGCCCGGUGCUGGAAGGUUAAGAGGAUUUGUCAGUUUCGACGAAGCAAUGAAUUGAAGCCCCAGUGAACGGCGGCCGUAACUAUAACGGUCCUAAGGUAGCGAAAUUCCUUGUCAGGUAAG
rnacentral:rRNA from 1 species